rnacentral:SRP_RNA from 1 species
AGCUGGGUCUUGCGCAAUGGAGGGUUGCAAACCCCGCCAGGUCCGGAAGGAAGCAACGGUAGCAUCCUUUCCAUGUGCCGCAAGGGUGCCUAGCUAUC